rnacentral:rRNA from 1 species
AGUGGGGAAUAUUGCACAAUGGACGAAAGUCUGAUGCAGCAACGCCGCGUGGAGGAUGACACAUUUCGGUGCGUAAACUCCUUUUAUAUGAGAAGAUAAUGACGGUAUCAUAUGAAUAAGCACCGGCUAACUCCGUGCCAGCAGCCGCGGUAAUACGGAGGGUGCAAGCGUUAUUCGGAAUCACUGGGCGUAAAGGGUGCGUAGGCGGUUUGGAAAGUCAGGUGUGAAAUCCUACAGCUUAACUGUAGAACUGCACUUGAAACUUCCAGACUAGAAUACUGAAGGGGCAGAUGGAAUUAGUGGUGUAGGGGUAAAAUCCGUAGAUAUCACUAGGAAUACCGAAAGCGAAAGCGAUCUGCUGGGAAGUUAUUGACGCUGAGGCACGAAAGCGUGGGGAGCAAACGGGAUUAGAUACCCCGGUAGUCCACGCCCUAAACGAUGAAUGCUAGUCGUCGGAAAGCUCGUCUUUUCGGUGAUGCAGUUAACACAUUAAGCAUUCCGCCUGGGGAGUACGGUCGCAAGAUUAAAACUCAAAGGAAUAGACGGGGACCCGCACAAGUGGUGGAGCAUGUGGUUUAAUUCGAAGAUACGCGAAGAACCUUACCUAGCCUUGACAUUGAUAGAAUCUGAUAGAGAUAUCGGAGUGCCUGCUUGCAGGAACUUGAAAACAGGUGCUGCACGGCUGUCGUCAGCUCGUGUCGUGAGAUGUUGGGUUAAGUCCCGCAACGAGCGCAACCCUCGUCGUUAGUUGCUAACAGUUCGGCUGAGCACUCUAGCGAGACUGCCUUCGCAAGGAGGAGGAAGGUGAGGACGACGUCAAGUCAUCAUGGC